rnacentral:lncRNA from 1 species
AGCUCAGGGGGUCUGGUCCUGCUCCCACCGCCUUGCUCGGAGCCAUGGGAUGGGGAUGCUCUGUGUCUAUCUCAGCUCUAGGGACACGCUGGGUCUCCAGAAGCCACACAGCCCUCCUGGUCCAUUGGUGUUCAACCCCAUCCAAGGAGCUGGGGAGGAAAGGACAAGAUAUGGGACGCAAGGAACCUUCAGGAUGCCUUGGGAAUGGAGGGGAUGCAGCCAGUUUGGGUCCUGUCUCUUUUGGUCCAGCAGAAAACCGUGUGUGCGAUCAGAGCUGGGAAAGUGCUCCUGCUGGCUGUAAUUAGGGAUGUCAUUGCAAAGCAUUAUCUCACAGAGCUGGAGCCUAUACAGAGCCAUACGUCCUCCGUAGCCAAUUGUGCACGGAGGUGAUGGGAGAGGGAAGGGUGCUGGGAACGCUCUCCCUCACUCAUUUCCAGGACGUUCUGCUGCUGUGUGGUCCCUUUCCCUUCUCACAGAGCAAUGAUGAAAGCAGACAGCCAGCGAGACCCCGGGGAGCCGCGCAGUGCAGCCCAUGGCUUCUCUUCCAGCCAAGGCUGUGUGGAGCUGCGGGUCCUCACCCCCAGCUGGGCUCAGCCCACUCCUCCAUUUCCCGUUCGCUUUCUCCCAGAGCAUAUUUUCGGGACGUGGAGAUGUCCCAACCCUCCCUUCCUCCCCAGCGGUAGCGCAUCUCGGAGGGGCCACGAGGGCCGUCGCUGCCGGUCCUGCUCUUCUCGUAAAGCACAGCGAGCUUCUGGCCAGCAGCAGCCAUGCAAUUUCAGAGAUUGAGCAAAUUCCCCCUCCCACCCACUGAGGACCUCCCGGGACCGGCGCACAUCCCACCACAGGCAGCAGCCACCUCGGCCAGCCGCCCAUUGCUGCAACGGCUUGAGUCAAUUGAGACCAUUUCUCAUGCAACCCAUCCAUACCGGAGGUCCCCAGGAGGAGGGUUGGCUCAGGAAAACCUUCAGCCCCAAACCCAGCACUCCCCCAUGCAGCUGACGGAGCACAGCUCACAGCGCAGUGACCCGAAGCGCCGCGCCGUCUGUGCCACGUCCAGCUGGCCCUUCCGCUUUGCUGGCGUGCUCCUUCCUGCUUUUAUUUUGGCUCUUUUUUGUGUGGGUUUUUUUCUUUUUUUUGGCUACGUAUGCGUGCAAGUCCAGAUGGGAGGAAAGGUCAGACUUGCUGAUGGUAAGGCCCAGGCUGAAAUCUGGGUUUGCCCUAAACCCGGGAUGGCUGUGGCUGGAUGAGCCCUGCUGGUGGGCUCAGCCAUCUGCCAGGAGAGCUGCGCCGGGCUCUGCGCUCACACGUUGGGGCUGUUGGAGCUCUGGCUCAUCUCCAUCCCGGUUCUGUCCUUGCCCACAUGCAGCUCCGCUCAUCACUGCCCACCCAAACACGCUCGGCCUCCUCUCGCUCAGCUCCUGACCUUUAUUCUCCCUUAAAUCAAUACGCAGAGCCGUGCUGCAGCAGUACCAGCACCUCCGGGGAGCCCAGGUGAUGUAUAGCAUCCAAGGAGCUGCUUCUGCUUUUGAGGCUCCCAUCCAGAUAAGCUUUUGUCUUUCCAAUCUGUCCUGUGCUGCGUGGGCCCUGCGUUCAUCCCCUCUGCUCCUGGCACUAUUGACUCCACAUUUGCUUUCAUUCUGCUGUAAAAUGAAGGCAGCUCCAGCUACAGCAGCGGUUUUAUUCUUCCUGAAUAUAAUGCCUUUAUGAAAAUAAAAUCAAAAGUGAGUUGGGACCGGAAAGGUUUAAUUAAAAAGCUUCAGGGGGGAAUAAGAAAUCUGUUAGGAAACCUCUGCGGACGUUCAGCAAGUUCUCCCUGCAGAGAAGCAGCCUGAAGGGAGCUGCAGUGUCUGCCUGUGCCCUGCUGGUGGGAAGGGAUGAGAGGUGCAGUGAAGCUGGGAGCAGCCCAGGUCAGGUGCUUGCCUUUCCCACUGCUGCACCAAAAGCAGCCAUAACCACAAAGACCCCACCUCCUAUUCCCUCAUACCCCUCGGGGAAAGGAUAGGAACUGCUUUCUUGGCCAGGCUGAAGCUGACAUCCGCCAGUCCCAAUGCCUGAUCAAUGCAAACCAAUGGACUUUUCCCAUCAGAACACGUCCUUUUUUUUCCAGCAGGAUGCCGAGUUCUCAGACAAAUGAAGGCUCCGUUUGGCAGCGGAUAGAAAACAGGAAUAUUUGUCUUUAUUCCGAGACUGAAUUUUUGUGGCUAAGCUGCACCAAAAAUACAUCUUCCCCCCCCACCUCUCCCAGACAUGAGACACCAUUGAAUGCUGAAAGCAACUCUUCCCUGCCACAAAUGG